rnacentral:rRNA from 1 species
UGGAGCAUGUGGUUUAAUUCGAUGAUACGCGAGGAACCUUACCUGGGCUAGAAUGUUACUGGACCGUCUGUGAAAGCAGAUUUCCCCGCAAGGGGCCGGUAAUAAGGUGCUGCAUGGCUGUCGUCAGCUCGUGCCGUGAGGUGUUGGGUUAAGUCCCGCAACGAGCGCAACCCCCAUCAGUAGUUGCCAUCAGGUAACGCUGGGAACUCUACUGAAACUGCCGUCGUAAGACGCGAGGAAGGAGGGGAUGAUGUCAAGUCAUCAUGGCCUUUAUGCCCAGGGCUACACACGUGCUUACAAAUGGGGCGUACAAGGGGCUUGCCACUUAGCGAUAAGGAGCCAUAUCCCAAAAAAACGCCUCUCAGUUCAGAUUGGAGUCUGCAACUCGACUCCAUGAAGCUGGA